rnacentral:rRNA from 1 species
UACGUAGGGUGCGAGCGUUAAUCGGAUUUACUGGGCGUAAAGCGUGCGCAGGCGGCCCGUUAAGACAGGUGUGAAAUCCCUGGGCUCAACCUAGGAAUUGCGCUUGAGACUGGCGGGCUCGAGUACGGUAGAGGGGGGUGGAAUUCCUGGUGUAGCAGUGAAAUGCGUAGAGAUCAGGAGGAACACCGAUGGCGAAGGCAGCCCCCUGGGCCUGUACUGACGCUCAUGCACGAAAGCGUGGGGAGCAAACAGG